AACAUCGCCUCCUGCAAAAAUCAAUGUAUAGGAGGUCCUGCCUGCCCAGUGACAACUAGUUAAACGGCCGCGGUAUUUUGACCGUGCUAAGGUAGCGCAAUCACUUGUCUUUUAAAUGAAGACCUGUAUGAAUGGUGGAACGAGGGCUUAACUGUCUCCCUUCUCCGGUCAAUGAAAUUGAUCUGCCCGUGCAGAAGCGGGCAUAAAAAUACAAGACGAGAAGACCCUUUGGAGCUUAUUGGGGCGACCGCGGGGGAAAACAAAGCCCCCAUGUAAAACCAAGAAGGACACUUCUAAGCUACAGAACAUCUGACCAAAAGAUCCGGCACACAAGCCGAUCAACGGACCAAGUUACCCUAGGGAUAACAGCGCAAUCCUCUCCAAGAGUUCAUAUCGACGAGAGGGUUUACGACCUCGAUGUUGGAUCAGGACAUCCUAAUGGUGCAGCCGCUAUUAAGGGUUCGUUUGUUCAACGAUUAAAGUCCUACGUGA
rnacentral:rRNA from 1 species